rnacentral:lncRNA from 1 species
GGCCUGGCAACUGACACCUGUAAUCCCAGCUACUCGGGAGGCAGAGGCAGAGGCAGGAGAAUCACUUGAACGCGGGAGGCAGAGGUUGCAGUGAGCCGAGAUUGCGGGUGGCGGAGCUUGCAGUGAGCCGAGACCAGGCCACUGCAUUCCAGCCUGGGCGACAGAGCCAGACUCUAUCUUAAACAAAAAAAAAAAAAAAAAAAAAAAGAAAGAAAAGAAAAAGAAAACAAUACAUAUAUCUUACAAGACACUUGUGACAGAUGUUCCGCUGUGUUGCCAAUAAUGCAGGUGAAGAUAGUAAUGAUAUGCUUGAUUAUGCAUAGAUUAUUUUAGGGAAGAUAAGAAAGUAAGAAAUUCGAUAGUCUCUGAGGAGGAUAUGGGGAUAGUUAGGAUCUAGGAUUAACGGAGAUUUGAUCCUCAUUUUAUAUCAUGUUUACGGUUAAGGAAGGACAGAAAACCUUGUAUUGAACUCUUCUUUUUGUCUGGAAUUACUGCUGGUAACGUUAACACAUAGUAUUUCAUUUGAAGCAAAGUAAAGAAUAAUACGGUUUUUGGAUCCGGGAAACACAAUUGAAGGUGGGGGUGGGGUGAGAAGAACAGAUUUAAAUAUUAGGUG